GGCCGGAUAAGGCGUUCACGCCGCAUCCGGCAUUCAGUACCUGAUGCGACGCUGACGCCUCUUAUCAGGCC
rnacentral:ncRNA from 1 species